CAGUAACCGCGGUAAUACGGAGGGUGCAAGCGUUAAUCGGAAUUACUGGGCGUAAAGCGCACGCAGGCGGUCUGACAAGUCAGAUGUGAAAUCCCCGGGCUUAACCUGGGAACUGCAUUUGAAACUGUCAGGCUGGAGUCUUGUAGAGGGGGGUGGAAUUCCAGGUGUAGCGGUGAAAUGCGUAGAGAUCUGGAGGAAUACCGGUGGCGAAGGCGGCCCCCUGGACAAAGACUGACGCUCAGGUGCGAAAGCGUGGGGAGCAAACAGGAUUAGAUACCCCUGUAGUCCCUGUCUCUUAUAC
rnacentral:rRNA from 1 species